rnacentral:rRNA from 1 species
GUUUGCCCUUCGGGGUGAGUGGCUAAGCGAAAGCGUUAAGCGUCCCACCUGGGGAGUACGCCGGCAACGGUGAAACUCAAAGGAAUUGACGGGGGCCCGCACAAGCGGAGGAACAUGUGGUUUAAUUCGAUGAUACGCGAGGAACCUUACCCGGGCUUGAACUGCAGCUGAACGAUUCAGAGAUGAUGAGGUCCUUCGGGACAGCUGUGGAGGUGCUGCAUGGUUGUCGUCAGCUCGUGCCGUGAGGUGUCGGCUUAAGUGCCAUAACGAGCGCAACCCUUUUCUCUAGUUACCAUCAGGUUUUGCUGGGCACUCUGGAGACACUGCCACCGUAAGGUGUGAGGAAGGUGGGGAUGACGUCAAAUCAGCACGGCCCUUACGUCCGGGGCUACACACGUGUACAAUGGGUGGUACAGAGAGCGGGCUGCCUGCAAAGUCAGCCGAAUCAUGAAAGCCAUCCUCAGUUCGGAUUGGGGUCUGCAACCCGACCCCAUGAAGCUGGAUUCG